rnacentral:rRNA from 1 species
GCAACCUUUGACCCGUAGAUUUCCGAAUGGGGGAACCCGGCAGUGGUUAUGCACUGUCACCCAUAGCUUAGACUAUGAGGAGGGCACCUGGGGAACUGAAACAUCUAAUUACCCAGAGGAACAGUAAUCAAACGAGAUUUUCUUAGUAGCGGCGAGCGAACGGGAAAGAGGCCAAACCGGAACGGGCAACCGCACCGGGGUUGAGGACAGUCAUCAAGUGUAAAUGAGGUAGAAGAAUCGAGCUGGAAAGCUCAGCCGAAGAAGGUGAAAGCCCUGUAAUCGAAACCUUGCAUACAUGGGACUGUAUCCAGAGUACCACGAGACACGUGAAACCUUGUGGGAAGCAGGGGGGACCACCCUCCAAGCCAAAAUACUGAUAUCGACCGAUAGCGCAUAGUACCGUGAGGGAAAGGUGAAAAGAACCCCGGGAGGGGAGUGAAAUAGAACCUGAAACCCUGCACUUACAAGCUGUGGGAGCACAUUACUUGUGUGACCGCGUACUUUUUGUAGAACGGGCCAACGAGUUACGUUAAGUAGCAAGGUUAAGCACUUAAGGUGUGGAGCCGUAGCGAAAGCGAGUCUUAAAUGGGCGAUUAAGUUACUUGGCGUAGACCCGAAACCGGGCGACCUAUCCAUGAGCAGGUUGAAGCGAAAGUAAAAUUUCGUGGAGGACCGAACCCACGAGCGUUGAAAAGCUCGGGGAUGACUUGUGGAUAGCGGUGAAAUUCCAAUCGAGCCCGGAGAUAGCUGGUUCUCCCCGAAAUAGCUUUAGGGCUAGCCUCAAGCGUAGAGAAACGGAGGUAGAGCACUGAAUGUCCUAGGGGGUAUUGCACUUACCGAAGACUAUCAAACUCCGAAUGCCGUUUUCUUUUACUUGGGAGUCAGACUGUGGGUGAUAAGAUUCAUAGUCAAAAGGGCAACAGCCCAGAUCGUCAGCUAAGGUCCCUAAAUGUACGUUAAGUGGUAAAGGAUGUGGGAUUGCACAGACAACCAGGAUGUUGGCUUAGAAGCAGCCACUCAUUUAAAGAGUGCGUAAUAGCUCACUGGUCGAGUGAUCCUGCGCCGAAAAUUUCCGGGGCUAAAACGUACUACCGAAGCUACGGCAUCAUUUAUGAUGGGUAGGGGAGCUUCGUAUGCAGGCUGAAGCAUGACCGUAAGGACAUGUGGACAGUAUACGAGUGAGAAUGUUGGCAUGAGUAGCGAGACGUGGGUGAGAAUCCCACGGGCCGUAAACCCAAGGUUUCCAGGGGAAGGUUCGUCCGCCCUGGGUUAGUCGGGACCUAAGCCGAGGCCGAAAGGCGUAGGUGAUGGACAACAGGUUGAUAUUCCUGUACCGCCAAUAAGCGUUUGAGAGAUGGAGUGACACAGUAGGAUAAGCUAACCGUACUGUUGGUUAUGUACGGCUAAGCAUUGAGGCAGUCUAAAUAGGCAAAUCCGUUUAGACAAUGCUAGGAUGUGAUGGGGAAGCCCUUCGGGGCGAAGUAGCUGAUUUCACACUGUCAAGAAAAGCUUCUAUCGAGUUUAAAGGCGCCCGUACCGUAAACCGACACAGGUGGGUGAGGAGAGUAUCCUAAGGCCAGCGAGAGAACUAUUGUUAAGGAACUCGGCAAAAUGACCCCGUAACUUAGGGAGAAGGGGUGCCUGUCUAUGACAGGCCGCAGAGAAUAGGCCCAAGCGACUGUUUACCAAAAACACAGGUUUCUGCUAAGUCGCAAGACGAUGUAUAGGAGCUGACGCCUGCCCGGUGCUGGAAGGUUAAGGGGAUCUGUUAGAGCAAUCGAAGCAGUGAACUUAAGCCCCAGUAAACGGCGGCCGUAACUAUAACGGUCCUAAGGUAGCGAAAUUCCUUGUCGGGUAAGUUCC